rnacentral:rRNA from 1 species
AUUGAACGCUGGCGGCAGGCCUAACACAUGCAAGUCGAGCGGAUGAAGGGAGCUUGCUCCUGGAUUCAGCGGCGGACGGGUGAGUAAUGCCUAGGAAUCUGCCUGGUAGUGGGGGAUAACGUCCGGACACGGGCGCUAAUACCGCAUACGUCCUGAGGUAGAAAGUGGGGGAUCUUCGGACCUCACGCUAUCAGAUGAGCCUAGGUCGGAUUAGCUAGUUGGUGGGGUAAAGGCCUACCAAGGCGACGAUCCGUAACUGGUCUGAGAGGAUGAUCAGUCACACUGGAACUGAGACACGGUCCAGACUCCUACGGGAGGCAGCAGUGGGGAAUAUUGGACAAUGGGCGAAAGCCUGAUCCAGCCAUGCCGCGUGUGUGAAGAAGGUCUUCGGAUUGUAAAGCACUUUAAGUUGGGAGGAAGGGCAGUAAGUUAAUACCUGGCUGUUUUGACGUUACCAACAGAAUAAGCACCGGCUAACUUCGUG